GAUGAACGCUGGCGGCGUGCCUAAUACAUGCAAGUCGAGCGAACAGAUAAGGAGCUUGCUCCUUUGACGUUAGCGGCGGACGGGUGAGUAACACGUGGGUAACCUACCUAUAAGACUGGAAUAACUCCGGGAAACCGGGGCUAAUGCCGGAUAACAUUUAGAACCGCAUGGUUCUAAAGUGAAAGAUGGUUUUGCUAUCACUUAUAGAUGGACCCGCGCCGUAUUAGCUAGUUGGUAAGGUAACUGCUUACCAAGGCAACGAUACGUAGCCGACCUGAGAGGGUGAUCGGCCACACUGGAACUGAGACACGGUCCAGACUCCUACGGGAGGCAGCAGUAGGGAAUCUUCCGCAAUGGGCGAAAGCCUGACGGAGCAACGCCGCGUGAGUGAUGAAGGUCUUCGGAUCGUAAAACUCUGUUAUUAGGGAAGAACAAAUGUGUAAGUAACUGUGCACGUCUUGACGGUACCUAAUCAGAAAGCCACGGCUAACUACGUG
rnacentral:rRNA from 1 species